GACGAACGCUGGCGGCGUGCUUAACACAUGCAAGUCGAACGGAAAGGCCUCUUUCGGGGGGUACUCGAGUGGCGAACGGGUGAGUAACACGUGAGUAACCUGCCCUUGACUUUGGGAUAACUUCAGGAAACUGGGGCUAAUACCGGAUAGGAGCUCCUGCUGCAUGGUGGGGGUUGGAAAGUUUCGGCGGUUGGGGAUGGACUCGCGGCUUAUCAGCUUGUUGGUGGGGUAGUGGCUUACCAAGGCCUUGACGGGUAGCCGGCCUGAGAGGGUGACCGGCCACAUUGGGACUGAGAUACGGCCCAGACUCCUACGGGGGGCAGCAGUGGGGAAUAUUGCACAAUGGGUGGAAGCCUGAUGCAGCAACGCCGUGUGCGGGAUGACGGCCUUCGGGUUGUAAACCGCUUUCGCUCAUGACGAAGCUUUGUGUGACGGUAGUGGGUAAAGAAGCACCGGCUAACUACGUG
rnacentral:rRNA from 1 species